rnacentral:tRNA from 1 species
GCAAGGGGAAUAGUGGUUAGGGAACUGGGCUCCGGACCCAGAGGUCCCGGGUUCGAUUCCCACCGCUGUUGUA